CUUGUACUCCCUCCGUCCAAAAAUACUUGUCAUUGAAAUGGAUGUAUCUAGAUGUAUUUUAGUUCUAGACACAUCCAUUUUGAUGGCAAGUAAUUCUGGACGGAGGGAGUACUUG
rfam:Triticum aestivum genome assembly, contig: Triticum_aestivum_CS42_TGACv1_scaffold_164496_2DL